rfam:Triticum aestivum genome assembly, contig: Triticum_aestivum_CS42_TGACv1_scaffold_405345_5BL
CUUGUACUCCCUCCGUUCGAAAAAGUUUGUCUCGCAAAUGGAUAUAUCUAGCAUCAAAUUAGUGCUAAAUACAUUUAUUUGAGAGACAAGUUCUAGACAAGGUUUUUCGAACUGAGGGAGUAGUGA